rnacentral:rRNA from 1 species
CGGGGGGCAGCAGUCGAGAAUUUUUCACAAUGGGGGAAACCCUGAUGGAGCGACGCCGCGUGGAGGACGAAGGCCUUCGGGUCGUAAACUCCUGUCAUGCGGGAACAAGAAAGUGAUAGUACCGCAAGAGGAAGAGACGGCUAACUCUGUGCCAGCAGCCGCGGUAAUACAGAGGUCUCAAGCGUUGUUCGGAUUCAUUGGGCGUAAAGGGUGCGCAGGCGGCGUGGAAAGUUGAGUGUGAAAUCCCGGGGCUUAACCCCGGAACUGCACUCAAUACUUCCAUGCUAGAGGAAUGUAGAGGAGAGUGGAAUUCACGGUGUAGCAGUGAAAUGCGUAGAUAUCGUGAGGAAGACCAGUUGCGAAGGCGACUCUCUGGGCAUUUCCUGACGCUCAUGCACGAAGGCCAGGGGAGCAAACGGGAUUAGAUACCCCUGU